rnacentral:rRNA from 1 species
AUAAUAUAAUAAACAUAACAUAAUAACAACAUAGCCGAAGGUCAUAGUAACCAGUGCUAUCACUAAUAAGCUAGGUUAAUAGUUUUAACUCUAACCUCGCUGUAAAUAAAUAAAUAAAUAAAUAAAUUAUCAUUAUAAAUUUUAAUAUACGUAUAUACAACCUCAACUCAUAUUGGACUACCCCCUGAAUUUAAGCAUAUUAAUUAGGGGAGGAAAAGAAACUAACCAGGAUUUUCUUAGUAGCGGCGAGCGAAAAGAAAUCAGUUCAGCACUAAGUCACUUUGUCUAUAUGGCAAAUGUGAGAUGCAGUGUAUGGAGCGUCAAUAUUCUAGUAUGAGAAAUUAACGAUUUAAGUCCUUCUUAAAUGAGGCCAUUUACCCAUAGAGGGUGCCAGGCCCGUAUAACGUUAAUGAUUACUAGAUGAUGUUUCCAAAGAGUCGUGUUGCUUGAUAGUGCAGCACUAAGUGGGUGGUAAACUCCAUCUAAAACUAAAUAUAACCAUGAGACCGAUAGUAAACAAGUACCGUGAGGGAAAGUUGAAAAGAACUCUGAAUAGAGAGUUAAACAGUACGUGAAACUGCUUAGAGGUUAAGCCCGAUGAAGCUGAAUAUCCGUUAUGGAAAAUUCAUCACUAAAGUUGUAAUAUUUAAAAAGUAUUAUAAUAAUAUUGUGCAUUUUUUCCAUAUAAGGACAUUGUAAUCUAUUAGCAUAUAACAAAUUUAUCAUAAAAUAUGACUUAUAGUUUAUUCAAAUUGCAUUUUAACAUAGAAUAAAUGUCAUUAAUUUGAUAAAGUGUUGAUAAAUUAAAAUUAAUACAGUGCGUUAAUUUUUCGAAAUUAUAUAAUGGCAUAAUUAUCAUCGAUUUUUUGUUUAUUAUAUGCAUUUGUAUGAUUAACAAUGCGAAAGAUUCAGGAUACCUUCGGGACCCGUCUUGAAACACGGACCAAGGAGUCUAACAUAUGUGCAAGUUAUUGGGAGAUAAACCUAAUAGCGUAAUUAACUUGACUAAUAAUGGGAUUAGUUUUUUAACUAUUUAUAGAUAAUUAACAAAAUCCCGGGGCGUUCUAUAUAGUUAUGUAUAAUAAUAUUUAUAUUAUUUAUGCCUCUAACUGGAACGUACCUUGAGCAUAUAUGCUGUGACCCGAAAGAUGGUGAACUAUACUUGAUCAGGUUGAAGUCAGGGGAAACCCUGAUGGAAGACCGAAACAGUUCUGACGUGCAAAUCGAUUGUCAGAAUUGAGUAUAGGGCGAAAGACCAAUCGAACCAUCUAGUAGCUGGUUCCUUCCGAAGUUUCCCUCAGGAUAGCUGUGCAUUUAAUGUUAUAUAAUAAUUUAUCUGUAAAGCGAAUGAUUAGAGGCCUUAGGGUCGAAACGAUCUUAACCUAUUCUCAACUUUAAAUGGUAAGAAUCUUAAUUUCUGAUAUGAAGUUAAGUUAUGAUAGUAGUGGGCCACUUUUGUAAGCAGAACUGGGCGUGGAUGAACCAACGUAAUGUUACGUGCCAAAUAACAACUCAUGGCAGAAACCAUGAAAGCGUUGGUUGCUUAAAACAGCAGGACGGUGAUCAUGGAAGUCGAAAUCCGCUAAGGAGUGUGUAACAACUCACCUGCCGAAGCAACUAGCCCUUAAAAUGGAUGGCGCUUAAGUUGUAUACCUAUACAUUACCGCUAAAGUAGAUGAUUUAUAUUACUUGUGAUAUAAAUUUUGAAACUUUAGUGAGUAGGAAGGUACAAUGGUAUGCGUAGAAGUGUUUGGCGUAAGCCUUCAUGGAGCUGCCAUUGGCACAGAUCUUGGUGGUAGUAGCAAAUCAUCGAAUGAGACCUUGGAGGAAUGAAGCGGAGAAGGGUUUCGUGUGAACAGUGGUUGAUCACGAGUUAGUCGGUCCUAAGUUCAAGGCGAAAGCCGAAAAUUUUCAAGUAAAAAAUCAGUGAGUAAUAUUGUCAAAUCUUUUAUGAUUUUUAAAUACUUGAAUAAUUUUGAACGAAAGGGAAUACGGUUCCAAUUCCGUAACCUGUUGAGUAUCCGUUUGUUAUUAAAUAUGGGCCUCGUGCUCAUCCUGGCAACAGGAACGACCAUAAAGAAGCCGUCGAGAGAUAUCGGAAGAGUUUUCUUUUCUGUUUUAUAGCCGUACUACCAUGGAAGUCCUUCGCAGAGAGAUAUGGUAGAUGGGCUAGAAGAGCAUGACAUAUACUGUUGUGUCGAUAUUUUCUCCUCAGACAUUGAAAAUUUAUGGUGGGGACACGCAAACUUCUCAACAGGCCGUACCAAUAUCCGCAGCUGGUCUCCAAGGUGAAGAGUCUCUAGUCGAUAGAAUAAUGUAAGUAAGGGAAGUCGG